UUAAAUUGAAGAGUUUGAUCAUGGCUCAGAUUGAACGCUGGCGGCAGGCCUAACACAUGCAAGUCGAACGGUAACAGGAAGCAGCUUGCUGCUUUGCUGACGAGUGGCGGACGGGUGAGUAAUGUCUGGGAAACUGCCUGAUGGAGGGGGAUAACUACUGGAAACGGUGGCUAAUACCGCAUAACGUCGCAAGACCAAAGAGGGGGACCUUCGGGCCUCUUGCCAUCAGAUGUGCCCAGAUGGGAUUAGCUUGUUGGUGAGGUAACGGCUCACCAAGGCGACGAUCCCUAGCUGGUCUGAGAGGAUGACCAGCCACACUGGAACUGAGACACGGUCCAGACUCCUACGGGAGGCAGCAGUGGGGAAUAUUGCACAAUGGGCGCAAGCCUGAUGCAGCCAUGCCGCGUGUAUGAAGAAGGCCUUCGGGUUGUAAAGUACUUUCAGCGGGGAGGAAGGUGUUGUGGUUAAUAACCGCAGCAAUUGACGUUACCCGCAGAAGAAGCACCGGCUAACUCCGUGCCAGCAGCCGCGGUAAUACGGAGGGUGCAAGCGUUAAUCGGAAUUACUGGGCGUAAAGCGCACGCAGGCGGUCUGUCAAGUCGGAUGUGAAAUCCCCGGGCUCAACCUGGGAACUGCAUUCGAAACUGGCAGGCUUGAGUCUUGUAGAGGGGGGUAGAAUUCCAGGUGUAGCGGUGAAAUGCGUAGAGAUCUGGAGGAAUACCGGUGGCGAAGGCGGCCCCCUGGACAAAGACUGACGCUCAGGUGCGAAAGCGUGGGGAGCAAACAGGAUUAGAUACCCUGGUAGUCCACGCCGUAAACGAUGUCUACUUGGAGGUUGUGCCCUUGAGGCGUGGCUUCCGGAGCUAACGCGUUAAGUAGACCGCCUGGGGAGUACGGCCGCAAGGUUAAAACUCAAAUGAAUUGACGGGGGCCCGCACAAGCGGUGGAGCAUGUGGUUUAAUUCGAUGCAACGCGAAGAACCUUACCUGGUCUUGACAUCCACAGAACAUUCCAGAGAUGGAUUGGUGCCUUCGGGAACUGUGAGACAGGUGCUGCAUGGCUGUCGUCAGCUCGUGUUGUGAAAUGUUGGGUUAAGUCCCGCAACGAGCGCAACCCUUAUCCUUUGUUGCCAGCGGUCCGGCCGGGAACUCAAAGGAGACUGCCAGUGAUAAACUGGAGGAAGGUGGGGAUGACGUCAAGUCAUCAUGGCCCUUACGACCAGGGCUACACACGUGCUACAAUGGCGCAUACAAAGAGAAGCGACCUCGCGAGAGCAAGCGGACCUCAUAAAGUGCGUCGUAGUCCGGAUUGGAGUCUGCAACUCGACUCCAUGAAGUCGGAAUCGCUAGUAAUCGUGGAUCAGAAUGCCACGGUGAAUACGUUCCCGGGCCUUGUACACACCGCCCGUCACACCAUGGGAGUGGGUUGCAAAAGAAGUAGGUAGCUUAACCUUCGGGAGGGCGCUUACCACUUUGUGAUUCAUGACUGGGGUGAAGUCGUAACAAGGUAACCGUAGGGGAACCUGCGGUUGGAUCACCUCCUUACCUUAAAGAAGC
rnacentral:rRNA from 1 species